GAAGUAGGGUAGAAGCGCGCCUGAUUUUUUUUUUUUUUUUUUUUUUUUUGGUUCUUUCUUUUAUUUUUAUUCUGUUAAGUCUCAGUUCUGAAGGGGAAAACCUCAGUUGGCCUCUGCCCCACUUCCCUGGCCAGGGGCUCCUCCCCCUCAGCACUCCUUCAUGGCCCCCUUCACCCAGGGUAUCCCGCCUCCAUCACCUCACUCGCAAGUUGCUUGAAAAGAAGAAGACAGCUUCUCUCCAACAGGAAGUGUUGAGCCCAAGGCGGGAGGCACUGGAGGCCCCCUCCAGAAGCCUGAGGUUUGUGCCGGUGUGGUGAUGCCCAUACAUUCCUUCACGCGCCCCACUGCCGGGAGGACCGCUGUCCCCAGCCAGCCAAAAUCACGACACAUUCCAGCCCUGCCCAGCAUGCUGACCUUUGGCCUCUAAAUCCCCGUGGGCCUCCAGGUCAGGGCAGGGGUUGAGUGGCCU
rnacentral:lncRNA from 1 species